rnacentral:sRNA from 1 species
CGUCAAUAAUAUUCUCGGCUCUCAUUGUAAGAAAAAAUAUUGGAGCUGAGUUUACAGAUUACGUCUGAAUUUCGCGUUUAGUGAAAGGCUGUCCCUCAACAAGUGCGAAGUGUGUGUUCUUAAGAAAGAAAUUAGUGGAGGUAUCGACUUUUGAAGUAAAGAAAGCGUAAAAAUUUUAAAGUUUUGAAUCAAAACCAUAAAAACAAUGUGUAGCCAUAAGAUCAUAGGCAUGGAGGCGAACAAAUGUCAGAUUGCCGACAAAUAUGCUAAUGUCAAUAAAAAUGAUGAUGGUGGUGUUGACUACACUAAAGGAUAUGUCCUGUGUUGGGUAACUAAUUCUCCACUUUAGUACCGGUAUAUUUGAGGCAAUUGACUACACAACAACAAAACUUACUCCUCAACGCCAUCUGCAGGAUAUGGUACGGACUACAUCCCAAUAGCAGUAAAUGGCAACGACACGACUAGGAUAACCUGUCAUCUGAUCAAUCAAGCGUCUGCAUUACGUCCGUCCAUUUGCCCUAAAUAAAGUAAAAAAAAUGAAUAAAUUCUGAAA